GAUGAACGCUGGCGGCGUGCCUAAUACAUGCAAGUCGAGCGAACAGAUGAGGUUCUUGCUCCUCUGACGUUAACCGCGUACGGGUGAGUAACACGUGGAUAACCUACCUAUAAGACUGGUAUAACUUCGUGAAACCGGUGCUAAUACCGGAUAAUAUAUUGAACCGCAUGGUUCAAUAGUUAAAGACGGUUUUGCUGUCACUUAUAGAUGGAUCCGCGCUGCAUUAGCUAUUUGGUAAGGUAACGGCUUACCAAGGCAACGAUGCGUAGCCGACCUGAGAGGGUGAUCGGCCACACUGGAAGUGAGACGCGGUCCAGACUCCUACGGGAGGCCGCGGUAGGGAAUCGUCGGAGAUGGGCGAAAGCCUGACGGAGCAGCGCCGGGUGAGUGAUGAAAGUCUUCGGAUCGUAUAACUCUGUUAUGAGGGAAGAACGAAUGUGUAAGUAACUAUGCACGUCUUGACGGUACCUACACAGAAAGCAACGGCUAACUACGUG
rnacentral:rRNA from 1 species